rnacentral:rRNA from 1 species
UGGUGAACCAGCGGAGGGAUCAUUACUGAGUUACAAACUCCAAACCUUUGUGAACAUACCACAGUUGCUUCGGCGGCCUCGCCCCGGGCGCGGCGGGACCCUCUCGGGGGGAACGCGGCGACCCGGACCCAGGCGACCGCCGGGGGACCCAAACUCUUGUCUUUUAGUGUAUUAUCUGAGUGGCAUAAGCAAAAUAAAUUAAAACUUUCAGCAACGGAUCUCUUGGUUCUGGCAUCGAUGAAGAACGCAGCGAAAUGCGAUAAGUAAUGUGAAUUGCAGAAUUCAGUGAAUCAUCGAAUCUUUGAACGCACAUUGCGCCCGCCAGUACUCUGGCGGGCAUGCCUGUCCGAGCGUCAUUUCAACCCUCAGCACCCCCGUUCGCGGCGGGAGCUGGCGUUGGGGAUCGGCCGUCCUCUGCGGCGGCCGGCCCCGAAACGAAGUGGCGGUCACGUCGCGACCUCCUCUGCGUAGUAGCAAUAUCUCGCAGCCUGGAUAGCGGCGCGGCCAUGCCGUAAAACCCCAACUUUUUCAAGGUUGACCUCGGAUCAGGUAGGAAUACCCGCUGAACUUAAGCAUAU